CCUACGGGAGGCAGCAGUGGGGAAUAUUGGACAAUGGGGGGAACCCUGAUCCAGKCAUGCCGCGUGUGUGAAGAAGGCCUUAUGGUUGUAAAGCACUUUAAGCGAGGAGGAGGCUACUGAGACUAAUACUCUUGGAUAGUGGACGUUACUCGCAGAAUAAGCACCGGCUAACUCUGUGCCAGCAGCCGCGGUAAUACAGAGGRUGMGAGCGUUAAUCGGAUUUACUGGGCGUAAAGCGUGCGUAGGCGGCUUUUUAAGUCGGAUGUGAAAUCCCCGAGCUUAACUUGGGAAUUGCAUUCGAUACUGGGAAGCUAGAGUAUGGGAGAGGAUGGUAGAAUUCCAGGUGUAGCGGUGAAAUGCGUAGAGAUCUGGAGGAAUACCGAUGGCGAAGGCAGCCAUCUGGCCUAAUACUGACGCUGAGGUACGAAAGCAUGGGGAGCAAACAGGAUUAGAUACCCUGGUAGUCCAUGCCGUAAACGAUGUCUACUAGCCGUUGGGGCCUUUGAGGCUUUAGUGGCGCAGCUAACGCGAUAAGUAGACCGCCUGGGGAGUACGGUCGCAAGACUAAAACUCAAAUGAAUUGACGGGG
rnacentral:rRNA from 1 species